GCUGACUGUGAGGUACAGGGUCAAAGUUUAUUCAAUGAUGAGUCCGUGGCGAACCGUUCGCGAACCGUUCGGGACAUCACUAAUAUCAAGUACAAUUUAACAUUUGUCAUAAUCAAGUUCAGUCCUGGCACAUCCAAGGCACAUAGCACAUUGGAUUAGGAGAAACAGAAACACUGUCUCUGUUUCUCCUUCUCUCUUAAUGUCCUAUCUAUGCUGUCUAACAAGUGUUCAAGGCAGAGUCAAUUUGGAGGUCCUGUUUUUCAGGAUACAGUGGUAAGGAUUUCUACUUUUAAUUUGAUAUUUAAGAUCUCACAAACAUUUGCUAAAAAUAGACUAUAAGUAAACAUCAUAUUAAAAUUCUGGAAAGUGACAGUUCCUUUUUAAAGGGUUACUCCAACAGCAUAACAACUUCAGUGGUUUCAAGUGGUCAUGGUGCAGGGAGCCUGUAUGAGGAAUAUUUUUUUAUUAAAUGCUGCACAUAUUUGGGCUACCUCCUGAUAUGUAACAUAGUCAUUGGCCAAUACAAAAUGAGAAUUUCAAGUUGGCCUAUGCCAAUUCUGUGCAUAUAUAUGUGAACAAUGCUAAUUCAUUGGCUGACAGUGCCCUGCUGACACACUCAGUAAUGAGUGAGUAGAGGGAUGCGGUUUCUGCAGUUUGUCAUUCAGCCAGCAUUACAGGUGACCCAGUACCCAGCAGGUCCCAGGUAAGAGGCAAGCCAUUGCUAAAUGGUUUGCCUCUUUGCUGUGGAAUGGUCCAGAGUUCUGCUUACAUAGUUACCACUACAGCAGAUGGCAAGGGGUCUUUGAGUAACACUUUAAGUAAAAUAUAGCUGGCAACUUAAAUGCAUGUUUAUUUUAAAAUUGAUUAAAAAUAUAUAUAUAUCCUAAACAUAUAAGUAGUCAAAAUGUAAUCUUUCCUAAAUAAGUAAAAAACAAAAUAAAACCCUAAUGAAAUAUGCUGCCCAGGCAUGUGUGCUGAAUCAGUGCCUCUUUAGGGACGAGAUAAAAAAGGAUUGCUGGCCAUAAAAACACAUAAGUGGCAACUUUGAAGUGUGGUGAGAGCCCAGUAAAUCUCAAAUCCCUUGUUUGGAGAAUAGAGGUUUUACCCUGAAGGGUAUCAACUGAAGAGUCAGACCCAGAGUCAACCAAGCUUGGACAAGCAAGCUCCCAGGCACAUACAUCUAGCUAGGUCUGAAUGUCCUACUAAAAAUACCAUGGUUAAAGCUGUUGAAGGGGGAUUGGGACACAGCCACAAUUUUUUAAAUGUAAUUGUAAAAAAUCAUUUAUCAACCAAUACUUUUUUUUAUGUGCCCAUCUUUUUUUUCAGAUAUGAUGUUUGUUUAAAAGAACUUGGUGCCAAUCUCAAGUGACAUCCACCUUAGCCCCUCUACGUAGAUACCUGCCACCCAGUGGGGCAGUAACACUGGUAUAUUACAUAUUACACCACUCCAGCAACAAAAGUUUAAAAAAAUACAG